UACGGGGGGGGGCAAGCGUUGUUCGGAAUUACUGGGCGUAAAGGGCUCGUAGGCGGCCAACUAAGUCGGAUGUGAAAUCCCCAAGCUUAACUUGGGAACUGCAUCCGAUACUGGAUGGCUUGAAUCCGGGAGAGGGAUGCAGAAUUCCAGGUGUAGCGGUGAAAUGCGCAGAUAUCAGGAGGAACACCUGAGGUGAAGACGGGUUGCUGGGCUGACACUGACGCUGAGGCGCGAAAGCCAGGGGAGCAAACGGG
rnacentral:rRNA from 1 species